AAGUCGUAACAAGGUUUCCGUAGGUGAACCUGCGGAAGGAUCAUUAACGAGUUUUGACAUGGGUUGUAGCUGGCCUCACGAGGCAUGUGCACGCCCUGCUCAUCCACUCUACACCUGUGCACUUACCGUAGGUUUGGCGUGGGCUUUCGGGGCCUUCACGGGCUUUGAGAGCAUUCUGCCUGCCUAUGUAUCACUAUAAACACUACGAAGUAACAGAAUGUAAUCGCGUCUAACGCAUCUUAAUACAACUUUCAGCAACGGAUCUCUUGGCUCUC
rnacentral:misc_RNA from 1 species